rnacentral:rRNA from 1 species
AGUGAACGCUGGCGGUAGGCCUAACACAUGCCAGUCGAACGGCGGCACAGUAAGAGCUUGCUCUUACGAGUGGCGAGUGGCGGACGGGUGAGGAAUACAUCGGAAUCUACUUUUUCGUGGGGGAGAACGUAGGGAAACUUACGCUAAUACCGCAGACGACCUACGGGUGAAAGCAGGGGAGCUUCGGACCUUGCGCGAUUGAAUGAGCCGAUGUCGGAUUAGCUAGUUGGCGGGGUAAAGGCCCACCAAGGCGACGAUCCGUAGCUGGUCUGAGAGGAUGAUCAGCCACACUGGAACUGAGACACGGUCCAGACUCCUACGGGAGGCAGCAGUGGGGAAUAUUGGACAAUGGGCGCAAGCCUGAUCCAGCCAUACCGCGUGGGUGAAGAAGGCCUUCGGGUUGUAAAGCCCUUUUGUUGGGAAAGAAAAGCAGCAGGUUAAUACCCCGCUGUUCUGACGGUACCCAAAGAAUAAGCACCGGCUAACUUCGUG